UAUAUUUUGAGACUCGUUAUCACUAUCAUCGCUAGCAUAGCGUUAGCCUACCUCAAUACAACGCAGAUUUGGCUUGGAAACAUGAUAACAUUUCAAAAGACGUAUCUUUUGAUAAGGGGUCAGGAGCUGAUCUACUAUGCCUGUCAAUGGGGCGCUGCCGGCAAAGACCUCACCUCCAGCCGCACUUCUUGUCUGCUUACCAGUGGUCGUACAUGGGGAGAACAGAUUUAAAACCAUGUAUGGAGUCAGUACAUGGAGACUUGCAAGAAUGAUGUGAUGAAGUCCAGACUGAUAAAUGGGCUUGAUACUGAUGUCCCUGAAUGAAGAGAGACCUGGCAUUAACAUUUUACUAUACACAACCUUUACUUGUAUUGUAUCAGUCAAUAUGGGGUGGGAGAAAACCUGUGUAUUCUGCACCAGGAUCAGGAAACUCCUGUAGUAUAUGGGACACCACUCAGGAAGACAUGACCACUCUGACAUGUUUGCCAAGGCAGCCCCAUUUACCAGACAAAAUGCCGACAAGCACAGUAUCUGUAUCGGCUGGGAAUAACAAUGAAAGGUGAAAGACAACUGCAAACUUCAAGGAGUUGGUCCAAUGGGAAGUCAUGAUGUCAUCGGCCUCCACCUUGCUCGAGGAACAACAGAGGAGCAAUAGAGAACAAAAGAAGAAAGCCCCCCCAGGCCCUCAACCACCGGAUGUAGUAUCUCGUGUGAUCACCCCAGGCCUCAGAAGACCUCUUCAACUACAACAGGAAGCAGUCAUACGACCAGGUCACGACCCCUCUUAUAACACCAUGAGUCAAGCGGAGCCCACCCCGUGAGCCGCAGUGGAAGGUUCCGGUCUCACUGAGGAGCAAGGUGUGGAAGGAUUGUCAGGGGAGGAGAGGGAGACCUAGUCAGCGCAUCAGAAUGAGGAAAAGAAAGAGGGGGAAAGAAAGAAAGAGAGAGAGAGGAGGAGGAGAGGAAACAUCUGUCAAAUAGCAGCCUGUAACAUCAUUACACACAAGGCCCACCGGCUCACCUAACGGCCACAGCUUGGUCUAAUACAGCCUCCAUCCACAGGGUAAACUACUGUGUGACCCGCCAUAGUCAGAACUAUGUACACAUCCAGCCAGGAUGCACCAGGGAGGGGAUGAUGGUGAUGCCUAAGCCCACAAUCGAGACUCAUUGGGGAAGUGUCUUUGACCGCACUUCAUCUUUUGCAUUUUUUUGUUUUUGAACAAGAGGAGAGAGGCAGUGACUGAGGAGUGUGAGAGAUAGAUACUGAGAAAGAGAGAGAGAGAGUAGUCUGCCGCAUGUGUUGGAUGUUAAUAAGAUUCAUUUAACUGUGUUUUCUUUUAACAAGCGAGAUUUACACUCUCAUUAAACUCUUCUAUAGAGAAUUGGUGAAUGAUAUAACGCUGCUGUGUGAUGAUGUAUUUCUCACUGGCCUUAUCACACGCCGGGUAAUUCUAGAACUAUCUUCUCCUUUACAGCAUUAUAGGGUCCUUCGGCAGGGCAUGCAAACUAGUUGUCUGUGCAUCCUGCUGGAAGCAUUAAUUGCAUGGUCAAUCCGUAUAGGGCUUUUCAGGCUAAAACAUCAGUGAUCUUUUCAACGCGUUGGGGGCAAAGAAACAACGGACCCCCAUUCAGUGAAAUGAAGCGAAGUGGGCAGAGGGGCCAUUUGCACGUAGAGCUUGGUAAAAGAGGGCAUGAUUUGUUAACAUAAUUGUAAUCCAAACCCAACCUUAAUUUACUUGUUGUGACACACUGAGGUUCCAAACGUAUCCUAUUUACACACUGUAGUGAAGUUUGACACCAGAAUAAAUGUUUCUGACUCAUAUUGAUGCCACAUAGGCAUAGGGAUUAGUUGGUUUUUAGUAGAGGGUCUGAAAUGUCAUAUUCAAACAAUUGUUAUUCAAACACCUUUACAACCUGAUGGGAAUUUAAGUUUUCUUUAUUUUUCCUGUGAAUGACAGUUCUGACCUACACAUGGCCUACCGACAACUGCCAUGCGCCGAUUUAGGCAUAUUUUUCAAUCAGGAGCUGAUGGGUCAAGGAUGGGGUAUCAGCGUCCCCAGAGAUCUUAUAAAUCUGAGUAUUUUUCCGGAAGGUAAAAAUGGGCCGUUCUCUGUCUCCAAACUGCCUAAUCCCAGCACUUCCUCUCCUCCGCUCCUCUCCCCCUGCCCACAGUGUAAUGCAUUUUCUGUAACUAACAGCCGUUGUUUCCCGAUUGUCACGCUCCCAUCCCUUUCUCCAGGAAUGUGUAUGUCUGUGUGUGUGUGUGCAGGAGGGGAGAAGAGGAGGGGCCAUUGGUCUCUGGUUGUGCAGGGCUCUCUUGUGGUCUUGGAGCCAUGGACACCGAGGCCAGAGUGAGAGAGGGAGAGAGCGAGAGACAGAGAGGGGAGGAGAGAGCGAGAGAGAGGGAGAGAGGCUAGGAGCUGGCAGAGUAUCUGGAUAAGCCAUUACUUUUUACACCACAAACCUCCCCUCCUCCUCCCUCCAUCCCCAGCUCUGUGAUGACUCUGGCAGGCAUGGUGCUGUAACUGGGCCCCAUUACGCCUAGCCCCCCCCUCUCUCCUGGUUGAACAACCACCUCAGCGAAAGACAAACACUCGGAUGUCAAGUCCUCUCGUGCUGGCAGCAUACGGUGCCUUUCAACAGCCUUUAGGGCGUUUAAUUAAGCAUGUCCCUUAUCUGCCCAGAGCCUGACAGACACAGAGCCUCAGGACCUGCAGGGACCACACUAUGUACAGUACUGUAGGCACAACAGGACACCAUGAGGACUUUCUGCAGUUAACCCUAAAUACCAUUCUGAUGAUUUGAUGUCAG